UUUGCAGCGUACAAAUUAAUUGCCCCCUGCAAAAGAGUUUUUUGCAGCGUACAUUGUAAAAGCCCCCUGCAAUAGCCCGUUACUUUGCAGCGUACAUGGUAAAAGCCCCCUACAAUAGCAUGUUGUAAAUUUUUUUCGCUGCCACGUUUAAUUCAGACCAAAUAUAUCCUCUCAAAAAUCUAUACCAACUUCGAAUUUCAUAGCCCGCGCUCAGUUCUCCCUUCUUCUUCUCUCUGCUUUCCCUGCGUCUCGCCCGUCGCCGGUGGUUCUCGCCAGUCGCCGGUGGGUCUAUUUACCCGCCUCCUCGCCGGUGGUUCCCUGCUCGAAAAACCACCGCUGAAAUUACUCCCUGCUCGAAAAACUACCGCUGAAAUCAGGAGGUACGGCAAGCUACCUUGCUCGGCCGGUGGUUCCAAGGAAUAUGGUUGGCUCGCGAACAACGGUUCUCCAUCAAUCCUCGCCGCGACAAUGUUGUCACCAUUCAUGUUCAGGGAAAAGAUCUAAAAUCUGGAGCAACCUCACAUGGAAGUCUGCAUUUGGUAGAUCUUGCUGGUAGUGAAAUAGUUGACAGGUCUGAAGCAACUGGAGAUAGGUUGAGGGAAGCAUAGCAUAUCAAUAAAUCACUAUCAGCUUUAGGGGAUGUUAUCUUUUCACUUUCUCAGAAAAACCCCCAUGUACCUUACAGAAAUAGCAAGCUUACGCAGGUUCUUCAAGCGUCUCUAGGUGGUCGAGCAAAGACACUUAUGUUUGUUCAGGUUAAUCCUGAUGUUAGUUCGUACUCUGAAUCAUUAAGCACUUUAAAGUUUGCUGAAAGGGUGUCCGCUGUUGAGCUGGGUGCUGCUCGGAGUAGCAAAGAGGGCAGAGAUGUCAGAGAAUUAAUGGAUCAGUGACUGCUUUCACUGCUGAUUCUGAGCGGCUAUUCAGGAUGCCUGCUGCAGACCUCUUCCGCAUCAAACACACAGAUUUUCUCCAAGCAUUGGUACUAUAAUAUAUGCUUUGCUUCAGGAAGUGAUUACACUUAUUGGAGCAACUUUAAUCGACAGAGUAGGAAGAAAGCCAAUGCUCUUGGUAUAUACUCCGAGGAAUGCGCCUUAUGCUAGUGAGGAAUUGAUGUGGUUCGUGAGCAAUUGGCUAACUUUUUUACCAGCAAGUAUUUAUUAUUGGCCUGAGCGCGCUUGGUCGAGUUGUUUGAUAUUAAAAUGUAUGCGUACGUUGAAAUUGGAACGAAUAAAUAUUUAAAUGUAGUACUUGCACUUUGGAUUUGGGAUAUAUUAAUAUACAAAACAACAGUUAUU